CCAGUACAGACUACUAAUUUCUGCUCAGUUUACUGAUUUCUUAAAUUCAGCCCUUGGGAACUGGCAAGUGCCAUUAAUAAAAUGGAAGUGUGACAUUGGCAUUUGAUUCUGGAUUAUAUUUGCUUAUGCAUGUGCAUGGUUGUUUCUCAGGGCCUCAAGAGUGAUAUGAAAUUCUCUUUGAGAUUUUUUUUCUUCAAGCUACACAGCACCAACUUCUCUCUUCCUCAGAAAUAAUUCUUCUGGACAACUAAUCUGUGCCAUGGAUGUAGGUUCUAUCCAGUUGUUUACUGAAUAAUGGUACACCAAACAGGACUGAACUCUUUGAAGAGGACCUUGCCAGUGUGGAAUAGCUGAGAAGACCUACAGGGCCUAUUCCUGUUUACACAUUCUAGCUUCAUAUUUGACUUUCUUCUUUCACAUAAUACUCUUGACCUUUGAUCAAAAUGCUUUCUAACUGUUUUUCUGGCAGUACAUUUAAGUAUUACUUAAAAUUUCUUUGAAGUUUGAAAAUUAACCCAUAAAAGUCAAUUUGAUUUUGUUUUGCUUUUGUCUUUCCCUGUAACUUUGGAGCGGGGGAUGUUUUCAUUUGAAAUAAUUUCAAGAUUUCUUUCACCUUCACAUUCUCAGUUCUUCCCCACAUCAACACUUACAUUACUUUUUCAAAACUGUUUCAGCCUUACAAUUUAUAUGUCUUUUGUACAAUCUUGAUAUUUUCUUUUUUUCCCUAAAAAACUACAGUUUUUCACUGUAGUUAAAAGUCUUUUGAAUUUAAAAGAAACAAGAGGCCCCCAAAUAAUCCAAAAUGUUGUCACUAGACCCUAUGCAUUAGAUGAUUCCUUUUCUUUAUCAAAAGCCUAAUCUGUUUCUUUUUUUUUUUUGUUUGGUAGUCAACAUUACCACAUAUGUUGUUUGCUCUUUCUUCAAUACCCAUGAAAUACAAAUAAUAAUUUAUUCUGAAUCUCAGAGCAAUUAUUUAACUUUCAGUUGCAUCCAUUUCUGCCUGGAUAUUGACGUUUUUUCUUCAUUCUAUUUUUGUGAGAUAAUUUCCACGUCUUUCAUAGAAUAUGUGUUGAUUUUUACCACUCUUCUGGAAUUUACAUUAUCUAUUCUGAAUUUUUAAGCAUUUCUAUCUAUACUUCUUAAACUUUAUAACACAUACAUAUGUACUUUCUGAGCCUUGAGCAAUGCCACAUUGUAAUACACAAUUCAAAUACAAAGUCCUAUAUAUAUUGAUGAUAUUUUUCUACAGCCAGAAUAAUGGCUUAUUAUGUUUGUGUCUUGGUGUGCUGAAUUUAAUGCUGUCAGACACUGUGAAAUUUAAACUCAUCAUUAGCCACAAUGAGGAUAGGAAUUUAAAUUCACAAUGUAGGCUGAAAGCCGCAGGCCAUAUUUUUUUGGUUUAAAUAAUUUCUUUUCUGGAGUUGCUUUCUGUGUGCUAAAUUAUUUCUAGCUUAUAGGAGUCUGCUAUGAAUAAGAUUUGAAAUGUAUUGCAGAGCAGACGUUAUCAGAAUCUAUGUUUUUCACAGCUUUACCUGCAUACCUGCUUUAUAAACUGAUCUAGGAAAAACAGUGAGGUCCAAGAUGUUACUGGUGGUGAGCUAACAUUUCCUCAGAGUAAGGCUUUGUAUCAAACUGUGACUGCCAUGGACUCAAACAGUCCUCAAACCUUCAUGUGAGGCUUUCUGCUACUUUCCACCUAAAUUUAGAGUCAAUUCAUGUAAGUUUGUAAAGCAUGAUGUAUGUCAUGACAAAUGCUUCUAUAAUGUCACCAUGCACUUUGUGGUUACUAAAUACAUUUACUUGUGCUUCAAGUCAGGAUAAAAAUUUGCUUAAGGUUCAAUAAAAAUAAAAAAGCCACUUUGUAGGGGUUUCUAAUAUAAUUCAGAGAAAAUGAAGUGCACUUCUGACAUGCAUUACAUGUCUUACAGUACGAGGUACAUCAGUAUAUUCUUAGAGAAAAGUCAGGUGCCUACAAUAUCUCCUGAAAAUGUAACAGUAUUUCUCCUAUUCUGAAAGCUUUACAAAUUGAAAUCCAAAUUAUUUCAUCUUCUAGCACCCAAUGAGAAUACUGUUCCAGAACAAAGCAAAAUUUUUUUGGCCUUGUAGUGUCACCAUUAUAGUGUGAGUGUUUGGAACCAAAUUCUCUUUUUUAUUGAACUGAAAUCCUACAGUGUUCUGCAACCUGAUCCUUAUCUCAUACAACACUUUUUUUUUUUUUUUCCAGAUAUAAAUAAACCACAAGCAAUUUAUUCAAAG